AACGCGAAGAACCUUACCUACCCUUGACAUCUAUAGAAUUUUGCAGAGAUGCGAAAGUGCCGAAAGGAGCUAUAAGACAGGUGCUGCAUGGCUGUCGUCAGCUCGUGUUGUGAGAUGUUGGGUUAAGUCCCGUAACGAGCGCAACCCUUAUCCUUAGUUACCAGCACGUAAUGGUGGGGACUCUAAGGAGACUGCUGGUGAAGAACCGGAGGAAGGCGGGGACGACGUCAAGUCAUCAUGGCCUUUAUGGGUAGGGCUACACACGUGCUACAAUGGGGCGUACAGAGGGUAGCCAACUCGCGAGAGGGAGCCAAUCCCAGAAAGCGCCUCGUAGUCCGGAUCGGAGUCUGCAACUCGACUCCGUGAAGUCGGAAUCGCUAGUAAUCGCGAAUCAGAAUGUCGCGGUGAAUACGUUCCCGGGCCUUGUACACACCGGAGUA
rnacentral:rRNA from 1 species